GGGGUGCAUCAAGUGACACAGUUGUAUCCAAAUCAGAACCCUCCCAGUGAGCGGAGCCAGAACUCUCAGGCAGCCUCUCGGAAGACGGUACUCUGUUCGAAACCUGGCUUGGAGAAAACCACAACAGGUUUGAACCCAUUUGAACUCUGUCAAUUUUCCCAGAAGCAGUUCAACAUGGAGAACCAAGUUUUCAUGUAAACAAUGAAGGAGGGUGCAUAGUGAUGGGCUGGUGUCUGAUGAUGUCAGAGGAAUCUAAGGUGCAAAGGCUGGCUGAAGCAACAUGUGGCAUCAGAAUGAAAGCUAUGGGCUGGGAACUACUCCAUUCUCAGAUUUGGCUGAAACAAUGAUGCUCGAGCAUUUCCUGUGAAUCAGAUGCAGGCUACAUAGAAGAGAAACGGCUCAGGGUUGUCUCAGAGCCUAUGAAUCAAGGCCUCCUAGAGAGGGAAGGGAGACUGAAAGGUAAAAGGUGGAAGAUCACUGUAUGCUUAGGGUGUGGAUCAAGUCCAGAGUGACCAGCCAAAAGAGACAUUUUCUAUGAAUGACCAUGGCAACAGCAGCUUGGGCUCUCUCCUAAAGAAACUUAGGAAAUGGACAAAUAUAGGAUGUCUUCAAAAUCCUGCCAUAUUCCAAAGAGUAUGAGACAAAGUAUUUCUUUUGUCACUUAUAACCUGGAUAGAUCAGAAAGCAAGGCUAGAAAUACAAUGCAAGGAAAAUUAGAAGUCAAUGCAAAGCCAUUUUUCUUAUAGCAUUCAAGGAGAACAUGACACAGGCGUUGGCCCAGAAGAACUACAGCAUGAAAAGUGGAGCUGAGAAAGAUGAAUGAAAGACUUUAUUAGCAAACGAAACCCAGAGUUGCAAUAAGGAGGGCAAGAGGAGCUGAUGUCUCAAGGAGGAAGGAAGCUCUGAGUAAGAGGAUGUGAUAGACAGUGAAGAUUGAAAAAUGUCUGAUUGUCAUGAAAGUGGCUUUCCUGGAACGGUAUAAAUCAGAGUAAUUUUAAACUGGAAAAUUCACUGAUUUUCCCCUUAAAUAAUAGAUGUUCUAGAAGUUUUGAAAACUGCUAGAAGUUAGAACAACUAUUUCUAUCUCUACCACUUCUUUCCUGCGUGCCCCUGAGUAAGUCACUUGUAAGUCAUUGAAUAAGUCAGUCAGUCACUGAGUAAAUAAGUAUGUCUACUCUUGUUUCCUUAAAAGAAAAUAAUGCUUGGAGUUUCCACUGU